GCGGGUAUAGUAUAUCGGUAAUACGCCACCUUGCCAAGGUGGAGCGACGGGUCCGACUCCCGUUACCCGCUCAA
rnacentral:tRNA from 1 species